CAAAGUUCGACUGUACUUCCAACAGGGGGCGCUAACAUCAAUUUUAAACGCUUCCGCGGCGGCGAUGCGACGGAGCUUCUGCAGAACGCGCCACCAAACGGCGCGUUUAAAAAUGGAUGACCCGACAUUAAUUAAUUAGGCAUUUUAUUGCAGCGAUUCAAUAAAUCAUGCGGCCGAGGGUAACUUCAAAGCGCCGUUUUUUUGCCCCCCCCCCCAGUCCCCUUGAAUCCCCGCCGUCUUACAGGACACGCGCGAACUCCGCAGUGUGAAAGUGCGUCGGGCUCCGCGGAAUGCGCCGUCACCAUGGAGACCGACCGCUUCCCCCGUUUCGUCCAGAAGCCCGGCAACCGUUUGUGGGGAAACAGUCCGGCGGAUCGCAGAAUUCACUGGUGGGACAAUAAAACGCUCCUCGGAGUUCGGUCCUUAUUUUAAAGAAGGGAAAAAUGCACGAGGGCAACGAGGACCUCACGCGACUCGUAAAGAGAGGACAGCAGAGAGACUACGUGCCGGGCACCCCCUUGAAGUCCUCGGAGGAGCCCGCGAAAAGGCGCGGCCGGCGUCACUUCCCUCCGACGUACGGGGACGAGUCUGGCUUCAGGCCUCACGUAGCGCACGUAGAACCCAAACUCACAGAGACUGACCUUGACUGGAAAUCCCGGCUCCGCUGGCUGCCCGAGCCGCGCUACAGCGACGCCCCGCUUCCUCACAUCAAAGCCAUCCUCUUCCCAGAAGAGACCAGACUGCUGAGGUCUUUCCCCCGUGAGCAAACGCCUUGGCGUACAUCAGUAAAGACGAUUCAGCUGCCCGUUCGCCUUUACUGCCUUUUGCACCUGAGCGCGAGUGGCUGUGCGGAGUGUGGAGAUGGCUGUGUUGUGAACUCCCCGCGUUCCCCAUUCCUGCAGUGA
rnacentral:lncRNA from 1 species